rnacentral:misc_RNA from 1 species
CAUUUUCUCUUGUGGAUUGUAAAUGAUUAAUUGUUCGCAUACUGUAGUUGUAUUCUCCCCAAUAUGA